GCUGGACUUUUGAGCACAGAACUGGUGUACACAUACCAGGGCAACAAGCAGAGUUAGUGCUGACCACCAGGUAAGGGCAGCAGGAUUUCUUCAGUGAUUUUAAACUACCAAACGGCUCUUAAUAACCUUGUAUGGUGAGAAGGGUCCCCAUUGUAAAGAUAAGGAAAUUAGUGGUGCACACAUGGUAAGCUCUCAUGCCAAGGCUGCGGGAGAGAAUUAGGUAGACCUCAGGCCUCAAACCUGACUCCGGGGAUCUCAAAUGCUAUGUCAGUUCCCUACACUAAGGGCUUUAUGUGAUUGGUCCAGAAAAAUCCAGACACCAGAAGCCAGCAGUGGUCUGCAGGCUGUGCCAGCACAGUCCCUGUGGGACUUGCUUCUCAAAACUGGACAUUAACCAGCCGUAAUGAAUAACACUGUUGCGUUUUGUUGCUCUUUUGGAAAAAA
rnacentral:lncRNA from 1 species